rnacentral:rRNA from 1 species
GACGAAGGAUGCAAGCGUUAUCCGGAUUCAUUGGGUUUAAAGGGAGCGUAGGUGGUCUUAUAAGUCAGUGGUGAAAUCUCUUCGCUUAACGAAGAAACUGCCAUUGAUACUGUAGGACUUGAGUAUAGUUGCUGUGGGCGGAAUAUGACAUGUAGUGGUGAAAUACUUAGAGAUGUCAUAGAACACCGAUUGCGAAGGCAGCUCACAAAACUAUAACUGACACUGAGGCUCGAAAGUGCGGGGAUCAAACAGGAUUAGAUACCCUGGUAGUCCGCACUGUAAACGAUGAUUACUCGCUGCUAGGGGGCAACUCUUAGUGGCUUAGCGAAAGCGAUAAGUAAUCCACCUGGGGAGUACGCCGGCAACGGUG